rnacentral:rRNA from 1 species
AUUGAACGCUGGCGGCAUGCUUUACACAUGCAAGUCGAACGGUAACAGGUUAAGCUGACGAGUGGCGAACGGGUGAGUAAUGCAUCGGAACGUGCCCGGUCGUGGGGGAUAACGCAGCGAAAGCUGCGCUAAUACCGCAUACGAUCUGAGGACGAAAGCGGGGGACCGUAAGGCCUCGCGCGAUCGGAGCGGCCGAUGUCAGAUUAGGUAGUUGGUGGGGUAAAGGCUCACCAAGCCGACGAUCUGUAGCUGGUCUGAGAGGACGACCAGCCACGCUGGGACUGAGACCCGUCCACGACUCCUGCGGGCGGCAGCAGUGGGUAAUUUUGGACAAUGGGCGCAAGCCUGAUCCAGCAAUGCCGCGUGCAGGAAGAAGGCCUUCGGGUUGUAAACUGCUUUUGUACGGAGCGAAAAGGCUCUCUCUAAUACAGGGGGCUCAUGACGGUACCGUAAGAAUAAGCACCGGCUAACUACGUGCCAGCCGCCGCGGUAA